rnacentral:tRNA from 1 species
AUUUAUAUAGUUUAUUAAAACAUUUUAUUUUCAUUAAAAAAAUGGUUACCAACCUAUAAAUU